GACGAACGCUGGCGGCGUGCUUAACACAUGCAAGUCGAGCGGUAAGGCCCUUUCGGGGGUACGACGAGCGGCGAACGGGUGAGUAACACGUGGGUGACCUGCCCUUAGCUCUGGGAUAAGCCUGGGAAACUGGGUCUAAUACCGGAUAUGACUCCAUGACGCAUGUUGUGGGGUGGAAAGCCUUGUGCGGCUAGGGAUGGGCCCGCGGCCUAUCAGCUUGUUGGUGGGGUGAUGGCCUACCAAGGCGACGACGGGUAGCCGGCCUGAGAGGGCGACCGGCCACACUGGGACGUGAGACACGGCCCAGACUCCUACGGGAGGCAGCAGUGGGGAAUCUUGCGCAAUGGGCGAAAGCCUGACGCAGCGACGCCGCGUGAGGGAUGACGGCCUC
rnacentral:rRNA from 1 species